AUUGAACGCUGGCGGCAUGCCUUACACAUGCAAGUCGAACGGCAGCACGGGUGCUUGCACCUGGUGGCGAGUGGCGAACGGGUGAGUAAUACAUCGGAACAUGUCCUGUAGUGGGGGAUAGCCCGGCGAAAGCCGGAUUAAUACCGCAUACGAUCUACGGAUGAAAGCGGGGGACCUUCGGGCCUCGCGCUAUAGGGUUGGCCGAUGGCUGAUUAGCUAGUUGGUGGGGUAAAGGCCUACCAAGGCGACGAUCAGUAGCUGGUCUGAGAGGACGACCAGCCACACUGGGACUGAGACACGGCCCAGACUCCUACGGGAGGCAGCAGUGGGGAAUGUUGGACAAUGGGCGAAAGCCUGAUCCAGCAAUGCCGCGUGUGUGAAGAAGGCCUUCGGGUUGUAAAGCACUUUUGUCCGGAAAGAAAUCCUUGGCCCUAAUACGGUCGGGGGAGGACGGUACCGGAAGAAUAAGCACCGGCUAACUAC
rnacentral:rRNA from 1 species